rnacentral:lncRNA from 1 species
GAGAUGCUUUCCUUUAUCAAUCAAAAAGGGCCGUUCACAGAAGGCAUCUUCAGAGAACCAGCCAGUAUAAAAUCCUGCAUAGCCUUAAAGAAGAAACUCAAUGCUGGACACAACGUGAACUUGGAUGAUGAAUCCGUUCUCGUAGUAUCGUCGGUCUUAAAGGAUUUUCUUCAAAAUAUCCAAGGAAGUGUAUUUUCAGCCCAUCUCUAUGAUAAAUGGCUUGAUGUUAUUGAUCAAGGGAAUGAGGAGGAGAAAAUAACUGCGACCCAGAGGCUUGUAGACCAGCUACCAAGAGCCAAUGUAGUGUUUUUGAGAUACCUUUUUGGAGUGUUACACAACAUUGAGCAACAUUCUUCAUCCAAUCAGAUGACACCUUAUGAUUUAUCCGUGUGUCUCACCCCAAGCAUCCUUUGUCUGCUUAAUUCUGGCAGCUCAGCAUUUGAAAACUUCACCAAAAAGGUUUCUCUGAUAAAAUUCCUCAUUGAAAACUGUCUCAAGAUAUUUGGAGAAGAUAUCACUUCUCUCUUUGGAGAGAACUCAGUGAGUUGUGAUAACAGUGAUAUCACUGAUAACAGUGAGAUUUCAGACAAGAAGACAGUUAAUAAGAGUUCUGUCAAAAACUCGGCCUUUUGGUGUAGCUCCAGGACUCGCGAGGACAACCAAGACCCACCUCUACCACCCAGAAAGCAAAAACAGCUCUUUGGAGUUGCUCUUGAGGAAGUAUGUGAUAAUGACACCCUGCCCACCCCAAUUCUGGUAGGUCUUCUUUUGGUUUCGGUAACCUUCCUGAGGAGGGGAGUUCGCAGAGAUCAAGUGUUCUCUUCCCAAUCUACUCCACAUGAAGAAGUCUGGCUUUGUCCGAUAAGUUUCACAAUGUUAUUUCAAAGAAAAAGAUCUGAUUUAGGUACUGCAGCGUCAGAAGGCAAAUACAAGAUGAAAAGUUACUCUCAUCCAUUCCACUGAUUUCAACAAAGACCCAUCUAUACCAGCUCAGACCAGUUAACGUGGGCUCUUUGAAGUAAGGCUGUUAGAGAAGGUGAGGCUGAGAAAAACGAUGACACCUGGCACCUUACAAAUCAACUUUAAUGAGGCAAGACGGGGCAGCAGUCAGAUUAGGGAGCUGCUGCCCUUACCCAAGAAGAGGAAGUCUAUAUAGGCAUGGAUGUGGAAAGCUACUGUCUUAAGGGCGCCCAUUCUUCUGCAAGGUUAUUCAGAGUAGUUAUCUCUUAAGCAGCUGGGGCAAGGAAUUUUGGAGAUCGGCCAGAGACUGGGACCUGGUGGGAGCCGGUCGUAAUCAACCCAAUGUCCAUUUUUUUCUUUGGGUGAGAGCUCUUGGUUUUGCAUAGAAUGGUGGGGAGGACCUGGAGGGGAGUUUAACUCCAGGCUAUUUUGAGCCCUGUAACUUUCCUCAGACUCUGUGUGUAAGAAGCUCUGAGAGUCCACCUCAUCCUCACAUUGUCUCCUGGUCUCCUACCUUGAAGUCCACACUAGUCUCAAGUCUCCUUCAGCUGAGUCUGCACGCCCUAUGACUCAAAAUGUCUCACACGGAUUUGAUAUGUAACUCAAGUGUUUAAGCAUAAAGUAGGCAUCCUCUGGCAAAGAUGAAUCUUUUGAUCCUGCCAG